AGAUCAACUACCUAACAAGGAAGAAAGGGUGGCACCAUACCAUUUUAGUUCAUCUCUUUACUAUGGUGGCCGAGAUUCAUAUUCCCAUUCCUCGAGUGGCCAAACUUCAACAUCAUACCCAAUUUUUAAGAAAGAUGGGGGAGAAGAUGACCCUAACGGAAACAAUUCAAUGGAUGCCUCUAGAGGGAAUUGGUGGCAAGGUUCGCUUUAUUAUUAGAAUCCUCCAUUAGUUCUCCAAGGAAUACAUAAAAACAGGCAAGUAAUCAUAUGGAAGAACAUGAAGCAUGAAUAAGUUUCUGGCCCUUGGGAGUUGGGAUUUAAAAAUCCUUUCGGUAGUAUCUUUUUUUUUUCUUUCGUGAUUUUAAUUUGGGAAUGAAGCUUGAGAAGUUCUUCAUUAGAUCAUGGACUCUGCUCUGAGAUAAGGGCCGAGAAACCGAUGGAAAAAUUAAGUCAUUUUCCUUUUUAAAUGUAAAGAUGCAAUCUUUUUGCUA